CAGGUUUGUACCAUGGAACCCACAUCCCUGGCUGCUACAGACAAUGCUAAGAUGUGGAUCCUUGACUUAGGCAAAACUAGUCAGAAAAUUCCUUUUCGAUUACCUUAAAGUUGCAAAGCUGUGGUAGCUGGAUCCCAGGUUCUGUGUGGGAAUUUGUUCCAGUUGGGUUUGGUUUUGUCCGGCAGAAAGCAGACAGGGAAAUAAGUAGGCAAGAGGGGGACUGAGUUUUCUGUCAUCUAAGGCUUGAAAGAUGAGCUGUUUAUCACUCUCAGGGCCUCAGGCCCUUCUCUGUCAUUUCCACAGGAGUACGAGGAAACUGACUUUUAGGGCAAGGGGUAGCGAGGAGGCAGUCUUGAUUUGUGUAGCAUUUGCUUAAUUCCUAUGGUGAAAAUUUUUUUCCUACCAUGAACAGUUUCAAGCCACAAGGAUUUCACAAGGAGCUUGCAGAAAUUCCGAACCAUUGAACGGUCUGCUGUCUCCAGCACGCAGGAGCCCAUUCUGCCUCCCAGUUCCAGCUUCAGGAGGGCCACCCUCCAUCCAGACAUCAGGGUUGCGUUUCAGCAAACAGCAAGGAAGAAUCAGAAGCAAAGGGUAUCUUUUGUUCUCGUUUCCAGUGAACUCCCUCUGUGAGCCCUCACUGGCCAAACUUACGUACAUGACACGGAGAUCACCUGGAGGACCAAGGAUGUACGCAGGCAAAUGGGAAUCAAAUGUCCCUUGCUGCAGAUGAAGCAGCUUUGGAGAGUGGCCACCUUUCAGUAACGAGAGCAUUAGUAACUUCAGCUCAGAUAUGAAACAAACCAUCUGCUUGAAGAUGAACUUGCAACAUCGCCAGCCUGCCCACAUUCCCUUCCCC
rnacentral:lncRNA from 1 species